AUAGACGCAUAUCGGGUGCUUCUGCUUAGAUCGUGAAAUUAAUUUAAACGUAAUUUAAUCGAGGGAUUGCUUUAUAUGCUUGCAGAUUAGAAAUGGUAUUAAAGAUAUUCACAAGGCGAUUAUCGUCGAGACUACGUUCCCGAUUGAUUAUCAGUUGAAAAAUGUAUCUUUGAUUUAUUUACCUCGUGAUUUAACUUUUAGAGCUGGCUCAUUAAUGCGGAUUAGCUGCGAACAUUAUUUAUCGAUCAUUUCCAUAUUGACUGGAUACGUGAUUUUGCAAAUUCAAGCUCAAUUGGUUUGGCAUUAUGAUUUUUAAUGAAAACGUCCAAACAAGCUAAUGGUCUCUAGAUUUCAGAAUUCAAACAAGAACAAAGCAGAGGAAGAGACAGUGAGAAUUUAUCCAGAGACAGUAAAGUUUUUAU